rnacentral:rRNA from 1 species
UACGUAGGGUGCAAGCGUUAUCCGGAAUUACUGGGCGUAAAGGGCUCGUAGGUGGCCAACUAGGUCAGACGUGAAAUCCCUCGGCUUAACCGGGGAACUGCGUCUGAUACUGGAUGGCUUGAGUUCGGGAGAGGGAUGCGGAAUUCCGGGUGUAGCGGUGGAAUGCGUAGAGAUCCGGAAGAACACCGGAGGCGAAGGCGGCUUGCUGGACCUGGUCUGACGCUGAGGCGCGAAAGCGUGGGGAGCGAACAGG